rnacentral:misc_RNA from 1 species
UCUCUCUCUCUCUCUCUCUCAACCUACUUGUACAGAUAAAGCAAGCAAACAGCAACCAAAGCCUCCAACAUCACUUUUUCAACAAGAAAGAUUCAUGGGUUUUUGACAUUUAGUGGGGUGUGGUGUGGUGGAAAUUGGCUUAAGGUCCCACAUGCUAAAGCAGAAAGUGUUAGAAUUCAACAAACUACACCACCCUAGUGGGCCUUCAAUUCCUUCCCCACCCUCCCUCUCUCUCUCUUCAGGGCUGGUCUUUUUGUAUGGUGGUUCUCGAGGGAGAGAACAUGUAGAUUCCUAGAAGUUUACUCUCUUUCUUAGCCUGGAUUUGCCUAGGAUUCAAAUAUUUUGCAGGAUUGGUUGCUGCUACAAAUGAUGGCGAGUAUGCCUUCUUACGUCAUGUAAUUCUGUUCUAUUGAUUAAGCAUACCUGAGAAUCGGGUGAUGUAUCUGUUCUCGGAUUCAUCAGAUUCUAUUGUUUCUGCAGAUUCUUGAAGGCUGCUAUUGAAAAAUAUUUCAAAAGAUGGGUUGGCUAAAAAAAAUUUUCAAAGGCUCUAGCUAUAAAGGGCAUUACCAUGAGAAGUAUGGAGAAGAUAGACACUGGGAUGAGCCUCGCCGUUCAGUGGAUGAUUUAUCAGAUUUUGAUAGAGAAGAGAUUGACUGUGCUAUUGCACUUUCUCUUUCAGAAGUAGAUAAAAAAGGAAAGAAGGUUAUUGAGGAAGAAGAUGAUAGUUCCUGCCAUUCAGAUGAAGAUGAAAAGCGUGCAAGAGCUGAGGAAGAUGAAAGGCGGGCAAGAGCAGAAGAAGAUGAGAGGAGGGCGAGAGCUGAGGAAGAUGACAGGCGUGUGAGAGCUGAGGAAGAUGAAAAGCGUUUGAGAGCUCAACUGGAGGAAGAUGAACAACUCGCUAAAGCUCUUCAAGAUUCAAUUGUGGAGUCACCUCCUCGACAUGAUUUUGGAAAUACAUUUUCACCUUUUCCAUUUCUCUUUUCAUCUGGUCACAGGUAGAAGUGGUGGUGUGGAACAUUUAUUUUGGCUUCUCUGAACAGUGUCUAACUGCCAGAUUAUAUAGUCAGAUUCCAAUGAAAUUUCAAAAGGAUAAUUGUUUCUUCUACCUCUUAUUGAACGCUUUCAAAAGAGGCAAGAUUGCAUGUUCUGUACAUGAAGCUAGGAUGCCCUGUAUCAUAUUUGAGCGGGCAAAACCUGUUUCAUUCAUAUGCAAAUUUUGUUUUUCCUUGUGUUUCCGGGUAGUGAUUGAUAGUUUGGUGUCUCAAAAUUUAGGGAGUCAUUUCUUUACAAAUAUUAUACUUUCAGAGGAGGCAUUGUUCCUUUGGAAGUACAUUGGUAAUUGGUGGUAUGGAUUCAUAACUGGAAGCCGGGAAGAGAAAUUACUUGAAUUGCAGUGGCAGUUGUCCUUUAGGGAUGUGGCUGAAAGAUGUCAUUGACAUCUUAGUGCAAGAGGAACUAACCUAGAUCUGACAUGACAAUUUCAAAUCAAGCCAUCUAAGCCUAAGCCUUGACCAAAUUUCAUAUCAACUAACAAUUGAAAAGUAAUGAUAUGAAUGCUGUGAGAAUUGUGUAUAUAAAGUCUUCAAGGUUGUUUACCAGUUGAAAAUGUCUAAUCUCAACACCUGACUGAAUUUCCUUUUCAAAUUGUCAAAGGAAGCUCCAGUGAAGUGAGUGCUAAUACAUGACCGAGCCGGCAUAAAUCCUUGUAUUUUCUAAUAAGGCGAGGAGACCUAAGAAUGGAGAUGGUUGUCUAGACUAGACAGGAAUAAUACUGCAGAAUUGAAUGUAGAGCUUCAUAUAUUUUUGCCUAUCUUUUAACUAUAAUGAUUCUUGCAUCUUGUAUUUUUUCCCCUGGCAUAUCACAUUUUCUAUCUGAAAUUUUAUCUGGUUGUUGAAAUUAAUCAUUCCUAGGAUUUGUGCUGGGUGCAAUGCUGAAAUUGGUCAUGGAAGAUUUCUUAGUUGCAUGGGUGCUGUUUGGCAUCCUGAAUGUUUCCGUUGCAAUGCUUGCAAUCAGCCAAUUACUGAUUAUGAGUUUUCUAUGUCCGGGAAUCGUCCUUACCACAAAUCAUGCUAUAAGGAACGUCAUCAUCCAAGAUGUGAUGUCUGCAACAACUAUAUCCCAACAAAUUCAUCUGGUCUCAUCGAGUAUAGGGCACAUCCUUUCUGGCUACAAAAAUAUUGCCCUUCACAUGAGCACGAUGGAACUCCUCGGUGCUGCAGUUGUGAAAGAAUGGAGUCCAGAGACACAAGAUAUCUAUCCCUUGAUGAUGGUCGAAAGCUAUGUCUUGAGUGCCUUGACUCUGCAAUAAUGGAUACUCAUGAAUGCCAACCUCUUUACUUUGAGAUACGAGAAUUUUAUGAAGGUUUGAAUAUGAAGGUGGAACAGGAAAUUCCUUUACUUUUGGUCGAGAGACAAGCUUUGAAUGAGGCUAUGGAGGGAGAAAAGAAUGUAAGGCUUAUGCAUUGAGGCUCUCAAUUUCGAGAAUAUGCUUUUGUUUCUUUCUCAUUUAUUAUUGUCUAGCUGUCAUAUUUUUCUUCUGUUAUGGCCAGGGUCAUCAUCACUUACCUGAGACGAGAGGACUGUGCUUAUCAGAAGAGCACAUUAUCACCACUGUAGUUUUCUCUUCAGAAUUCCUACUUUUGAACUACAUUUAUUAAGAUUUUUGUACUGGAAUUCAUAUUUACUUCAACAAAAUUACCAGGUUUCAAGGAGGCCUAGGAUUGGAGCAGGCUAUCGGUUUAUAGACCUAAUAACUGAGCCUUAUAGGCUAAACCGUGAGUGUGAAGUGACUGCAAUCCUCAUUUUGUAUGGCCUUCCCAGGUGUAUCUUUAUUUCCUUCUUACCUAUCAAAAAUCAUUAAUCAACAAUUCAACAUACAUCAGAAUUUUUCUAUAUAAUCCUAUAACAUCUAUUUAUGCAGGUUGCUGACAGGUUCAAUCCUGGCUCAUGAGAUGAUGCAUGCGUGGCUUCGGCUUAAAGGUUAUCCAAGCCUACGUCCAGAGGUUGAAGAAGGUAUAUGCCAAGUGCUGGCACAUAUGUGGUUGGAUUCUGAAAUCUACUCUAGUUCUGGAAGCGAUGGUGCUUCAUCAUCGUCAGCAGGUUCAUCGUCAUCAUCACCAUCAUCAUCAUCACCUUCUUCUGCAUCAUCAAAGAAGGGAAAGAGGUCCGACUUCGAGAAGAAACUUGGUGAAUAUUUUAAGCACCAGAUCGAGUCAGAUACAUCAUCAGCCUAUGGAGAGGGAUUCAGGCUGGGUAACAAGGCAGUGGGGAAAUAUGGCCUCUGGAGUACCCUUGAACAUAUUCGGUUGACCGGAACCUUUCCUGUCUGAUUUACUGAUUGGUAAAAACUACAACAAUAAUGAGUCUCUCUCCUUACAAAUACUCGAAUACUUUCAUUUAGUUCAUAGGAUCAAAACAUAAAAAAUGAAUACCUCUGGGAGACUGGAUUGUCAAUGAAAAUUCUCUUACCUGUAUGAAGUUGUAGUAAUGUUGCCUUAAAGUUGGUAUAACACUGCAUGUUAUGACAAGAUAUAGACUCUACAUAAUAUAGUGGAAUAUGUUUUUCAUCUUACAAUCUCUCCCUAUUGGUACUGUUCAGCUAGGAUUACAUAUGGUGAGAUCAUUGCUGAUGUUAGGCUUUCAAAUUUAAAUAGUCUUUUCA